rnacentral:rRNA from 1 species
UUCCGGUUGAUCCUGCCGGAGGCCAUUGCUAUCGGAGUCCGAUUUAGCCAUGCUAGUCGAGCGAGGUUAGCCCUCGCGGCGAACAGCUCAGUAACACGUGGCCAAGCUACCCUGCAGAGGGGGACAGCGUCGGGAAACUGACGGGAAUCCCCCAUACCGGUCUCACGCUGGAAUGCCGAGACCGACAAACGCUCCGGCGCUGCAGGAUGCGGCUGCGGCCGAUUAGGUAGUCGGUGGGGUAACGGCCCACCGAGCCGAUAAUUGGUACGGGGUGUGAGAGCACGAGCCCGGAGACGGAAUCUGAGACAAGAUUCCGGGCCCUACGGGGCGCAGCAGGCGCGAAACCUUUACACUGCACGAAGGUGCGAUAAGGGGACUCCGAGUGCGAGGGCAUACAGUCCUCGCUAUUGUGUACCGUAGGGUGGUACGCGACCAAGAGCUGGGCAAGACCGGUGCCAGCCGCCGCGGUAAUACCGGCAGCUCGAGUGAUGGCCGAUUUUAUUGGGCCUAAAGCGUCCGUAGCUGGCCCUGCAAGUCCGUCGGGAAAUCCACUCGCCUAACGAGUGGGCGUCCGGCGGAAACUACAGGGCUUGGGACCGGAAGACUUGAGGGGUACGUCUGGGGUAGGAGUGAAAUCCUGUAAUCCUGGACGGACCGCCGAUGGCGAAAGCACCUCAAGACGACGGAUCCGACAGUGAGGGACGAAAGCUAGGGUCUCGAACCGGAUUAGAUACCCGGGUAGUCCUAGCCGUAAACGAUGUUCGCUAGAUGUGGCACAGGCUACGUGCCUGUGCUGUGUCGUAGGGAAGCCGAGAAGCGAACCGCCUGGGAAGUACGUCCGCAAGGAUGAAACUUAAAGGAAUUGGCGGGGGAGCACUACAACCGGAGGAGCCUGCGGUUUAAUUGGAUUCAACGCCGGA